rnacentral:lncRNA from 10 species
CAGAUGGGCUCUAAAUCCAGUGACAAGUGUCCUUAUAAGAUACAGAAGGAGAGGAUGCAGUGACACUGAGGAGAAGGCCACCAGAACACAGAGGCAAAUAUAUUGGAGUGACAUAGUCCCAAGCCAAGAAAUGCCUGGAGCCAUGGGAAGACAAUUGAGCCUAUAGAAACACAGACGGUGCCUAGAUGAUUACAGCCGACUUCUGCUGACUCAACCAACGAGUAGCACCAGUUGAAGCUGUAAUGCCGAACAUGCUGUCUUCGCUUAAAAGAUUAAUGAGGCUUCAAGCACAUGGUUACCACUGAGUUGAAGCAUGCAGGCUUUUCCAUCUUCAUCAAGAAGGAGGACUCUAAAAAAAACCUGCCUGAUUUGAGCUACUUGUGACUGUUCAUAGCUUUCUUCAUCUCUCUCCUACCUCCAGUUGAAGAAAGAUGGCUUGCUAAAAGUUAUAUCCCAUUUCCAGGGCAGCCAGCCUCCAAUGACUGGUCAAUACAGAGGUACGCAGACCUGUCUGACUGCUUUACCUGGAUUGGAGGCAUCUCUGAAAAGUUUUCUGAGCUUCAGACUCUCAACAGAAUCAGUAGAGUCCACUGUUGCAAUUUUUUCUGAGCGCAACUUCAACGUCUUCCCAAACAAUCCUGUUUUGUUUAGUCUUUUGGGCUUACUGUCUCUUAUGGUGUGAAAGUUUGUGUCCCCUCCAGAUUCAUGUGUUGAAAUCCUAACCCCCAAGGUGAGGGUAUUAGGAGGUAGGGUCUUUUAGGCGUGAUUAGAUCAUGAAGGCAGAUCCACUCUGCCCUUCGUACCAAGUGAGGAUACAGCUAGAAGGCUUCAUCUACAAACCGGGAAACGGGCCCUCACCAGACACUGUGCCUGCUGGCACCUUGAUCUUAACCUUUUCAGUUUCCAGGACUGUGAGAAAUAAAUUUCUGUUGUUUAUAAAAGCUAUCCAGAUUUUAAUAUUUUGUUAUAGCAGCCUGAGCAGACUAAUACACUCUCUUA